UGGGGGUGCUAUACAUGCAAGUCGAACGAACUCUGGUAUUGAUUGGUGCUUGCAUCAUGAUUUACAUUUGAGUGAGUGGCGAACUGGUGAGUAACACGUGGGAAACCUGCCCAGAAGCGGGGGAUAACACCUGGAAACAGAUGCUAAUACCGCAUAACAACUUGGACCGCAUGGUCCGAGUUUGAAAGAUGGCUUCGGCUAUCACUUUUGGAUGGUCCCGCGGCGUAUUAGCUAGAUGGUGGGGUAACGGCUCACCAUGGCAAUGAUACGUAGCCGACCUGAGAGGGUAAUCGGCCACAUUGGGACUGAGACACGGCCCAAACUCCUACGGGAGGCAGCAGUAGGGAAUCUUCCACAAUGGACGAAAGUCUGAUGGAGCAACGCCGCGUGAGUGAAGAAGGGUUUCGGCUCGUAAAACUCUGUUGUUAAAGAAGAACAUAUCUGAGAGUAACUGUUCAGGUAUUGACGGUAUUUAACCAGAAAGCCACGGCUAACUACGUGCCAGCAGCCGCGGUAAUACGUAGGUGGCAAGCGUUGUCCGGAUUUAUUGGGCGUAAAGCGAGCGCAGGCGGUUUUUUAAGUCUGAUGUGAAAGCCUUCGGCUCAACCGAAGAAGUGCAUCGGAAACUGGGAAACUUGAGUGCAGAAGAGGACAGUGGAACUCCAUGUGUAGCGGUGAAAUGCGUAGAUAUAUGGAAGAACACCAGUGGCGAAGGCGGCUGUCUGGUCUGUAACUGACGCUGAGGCUCGAAAGUAUGGGUAGCAAACAGGAUUAGAUACCCUGGUAGUCCAUACCGUAAACGAUGAAUGCUAAGUGUUGGAGGGUUUCCGCCCUUCAGUGCUGCAGCUAACGCAUUAAGCAUUCCGCCUGGGGAGUACGGCCGCAAGGCUGAAACUCAAAGGAAUUGACGGGGGCCCGCACAAGCGGUGGAGCAUGUGGUUUAAUUCGAAGCUACGCGAAGAACCUUACCAGGUCUUGACAUACUAUGCAAAUCUAAGAGAUUAGACGUUCCCUUCGGGGACAUGGAUACAGGUGGUGCAUGGUUGUCGUCAGCUCGUGUCGUGAGAUGUUGGGUUAAGUCCCGCAACGAGCGCAACCCUUAUUAUCAGUUGCCAGCAUUAAGUUGGGCACUCUGGUGAGACUGCCGGUGACAAACCGGAGGAAGGUGGGGAUGACGUCAAAUCAUCAUGCCCCUUAUGACCUGGGCUACACACGUGCUACAAUGGAUGGUACAACGAGUUGCGAACUCGCGAGAGUAAGCUAAUCUCUUAAAGCCAUUCUCAGUUCGGAUUGUAGGCUGCAACUCGCCUACAUGAAGUCGGAAUCGCUAGUAAUCGCGGAUCAGCAUGCCGCGGUGAAUACGUUCCCGGGCCUUGUACACACCGCCCGUCACACCAUGAGAGUUUGUAACACCCAAAGUCGGUGGGGUAACCUUUUAGGAACCAGCCGCCUAAGGUGGGACAGAUGAUUAGGGGGAAGUCGUAACAAGAGCAGC
rnacentral:rRNA from 1 species